ensembl:lncRNA
GUAAUCGUUGAAUAAAACACAGGAAACAAUUUAUAACAUUUUGUGCACAAACAAACAAUUAUAUUCUAAGCUUGCUUAACCUCGUUCGAAGCUUAAACGUAAUUACCUUGUUGAAAAGUUUUUGUGAUCCGGUAAAAACUCACUAAUAUUUUCAGAGUCGCUUUAAUGAAAAACAGGAAACUCAUGAAUAUUCAUAUUUACUCCGCCCAGUGGCACCAACGGUGUGUUCCAAACAGGACAUAUCACCCUCCUAAGAGAACCUCGGAGUGAAAACAAUCAUGGCCGCCAAACUGAAGGGUUGUUCCAAACCGAAGUGCUCUAAACUGGUCACUUCAAAGGGCUCUUCGGAAUGAAGGAUUUCGAAGGGUACAACUGAUGGACACUUUGGGCCCCCAUGAUCCUUUGCACAGGGAAGUUGUUUGGCAUCACAGAGUUCGACUUCGCCAAUAAAUGCUUGGCUUAGGCUUGGCUCCCUCCAUGUGGGCUCCUGUGAUGAUAUUAUUAUCAGUCAUGCAUCGAAGAUGAAGGCGAUGUCGCCAUGGGGACAAUCUGAGAGUGACAGUCUAUUCCAAGUUCCAUUAUGCUGCCCCUCAAGAGGCCUCUAUGAGCGAAUAUGAUCUUUAUUAUCUCAAGAAUCAUUUUAAAUGUGUCACCAGUGACUAAAUGUGGAAUGUAAAAGCUUCUGCGAAGCACUUUCAUGGCAGACACUCGAUAAAGAGACGACGAACCAUUAUAAAACAUCGCCAGAAACAAUGGACAUGAAUUGUGGACAUGAACUGGGACACAGUACGGAGGUUAAUUGAGGUAAUUUUUUGUCUCUGGAAAUAAGUUUUUUGUUUGUUUGUUUGUUUGUUUGUUUUUGAAGAGAUAUAUUAAAGUUAAAAUUAGACUUGGGGUAGAAAAUAUAUAUUAUAAAUAAUUUUACAUUUUGUAGCACACUAUGCCAGCUAAAAUAACAAAGGAUUAUAUUUAUUUCCCUUAAUUAACAAAUUGGCUGGUGCGUCAUCAUCUGGCGGCUGUCUAUUGA